UGGGGAAUAUUGCGCAAUGGGCGGAAGCCUGACGCAGCGACGCCGCGUGGGGGAUGACGGCCUUCGGGUUGUAAACCUCUUUCGGCAGGGACGAAAUUGACGUGUACCUGCAGAAGAAGCGCCGGCUAACUACGUGCCAGCAGCCGCGGUAAUACGUAGGGCGCAAGCGUUGUCCGGAAUUAUUGGGCGUAAAGAGCUCGUAGGUGGCUUGUCGCGUCUGCCGUGAAAUCCUAUCGGCUUAACCGUGGGUCUGCGGUGGAUACGGGCUGGCUUGAGGUAGGUAGGGGCAAGCGGAAUUCCUGGUGUAGCGGUGAAAUGCGCAGAUAUCAGGAGGAACACCGGUGGCGAAGGCGGCUUGCUGGGCCUUACCUGACGCUGAGGAGCGAAAGCGUGGGGAGCGAACAGG
rnacentral:rRNA from 1 species